UCAGGUCCUUGCUUUUCAUUACUUUGAAUAUUUCAUGCCAAUUUCUUCUGGCCUGAAGUGUUUCUACUGAGAAAGUUGACAAUCUAUGGCAACUACCUUAUAUGUAACUUUCUGUCUCUCUCUUGCUGCCUUUAAAGAUUCUUUGUCAUGCCCUGG